rnacentral:rRNA from 1 species
GACGAACGCUGGCGGCGUGCUUAACACAUGCAAGUCGAGCGGUAAGGCCCUUUCGGGGGUACACGAGCGGCGAACGGGUGAGUAACACGUGGGUGACCUGCCCUCAGCUCUGGGAUAAGCCUGGGAAACCGGGUCUAAUACUGGAUAUGACUCCAUGACGCAUGUUGUGGGGUGGAAAGCCUUGUGCGGCUGAGGAUGGGCCCGCGGCCUAUCAGCUUGUUGGUGGGGUGANGGCCUACCAAGGCGACGACGGGUAGCCGGCCUGAGAGGGCGACCGGCCACACUGGGACUGAGACACGGCCCAGACUCCUACGGGAGGCAGCAGUGGGGAAUCUUGCGCAGUGGGCGAAAGCCUGACGCAGCGACGCCGCGUGAGGGAUGACGGCCU